UACGUAGGGGGCUAGCGUUGUCCGGAAUCAUUGGGCGUAAAGAGCGCGUAGGCGGCCAGAUAAGUCCGGUGUGAAAGUCAAAGGCUCAACCUUUGAAUGCCGCUGGAAACUGUCUGGCUAGAGUCCCGGGAGGGGCGAGUGGAAUUCCUGGUGUAGCGGUGAAAUGCGCAGAUAUCAGGAGGAACACCAAUGGCGAAGGCAGCUCGCUGGAACGGUACUGACGCUGAGGCGCGAAAGCGUGGGGAGCAAACAGG
rnacentral:rRNA from 1 species